rnacentral:lncRNA from 1 species
UAAAAACCACCAUAGGGGGUGUUUUAAAUUGUUUUGCAAGGGUGAAGGAGUUAAAAACCCGAUUUUAUAGUUGAGGGGUAAUGUAGACGACCUUUGAUAAGUUGGGGGGUUAUGUAGACUCAGGUAUGACAUAGCAAAAUCUGUGACCCACUUACUGUUCCUUGAAAAUUUAAAUGACUCCAGGGCUGUCCUCCCAGUAGCUUAUUCUUGACUCGACGAUGGGGUUGCCUCCCGCAAAGCGCUUCGUUUAUAGUCUAUAACUAAACUCUAAAAGUCUUCACUUUGGACCAGUGCUCGGUGUUAGUGCUGCAGCCUUAGGCGCCUACUUCUGCAUCAUCUUGGGCUUUAGUGCAGGCUUAGGCUUGGCUAUCUUUUUGGUCUUCACAGGUUUUCGUUCUUCCUUU